CCCUUAGAUGUUCUGGGCUGCACGCGCGCUACACUGAUGCGCUCAACGAGUUUAUAACCUUGUCCGGCAGGAUUGGGUAAUCUUUUUAAAACGCAUCGUGAUGGGGAUAGAUUAUUGCAAUUAUUAAUCUUCAACGAGGAAUUCCUAGUAGUCACUGUUCAUCAGACAGUGACGACUAUGUCCCUGCCCUUUGUACACACCGCCCGUCGCUCCUACCGAUUGGGUGAUCCGGUGAAUGAUUCGGACUGACGUUGUACUAGCUACUAGUUCAAUGUUAGGAAGUUUUGUGAACCUAAUCACUUGGAGGAAGGAGAAGUCGUAACA
rnacentral:rRNA from 1 species